rnacentral:misc_RNA from 1 species
GUGAGUCAUCGAAUCUUUGAACGCACCUUGCGCUCCUUGGUAUUCCGAGGAGCAUGCCUGUUUGAGUGUCUUGAAGUCAUCAACCCCUCCCGUUUCGUGCGGUGUGGUGCGUUGGAUAUGGGGGCCUGCGGUCGAGAGACCGCUCCCCUCAAAUGCUUCGGUUGGGCCUGCGGGUCGAACUCGGUUGGGCGUUGUAACAACCUCGCUCUCUGCCGAGAUGUUCCCCUGUCUUUCGUGCCCUUCCACGACCGCCUUGCGAGCGGCGGUCAAAACAACUUUGAAAUCUGACCUCAAAUCAGGUAGGACUACCCGCUGAACUUAAGCAUAUCAAUAAGCGGAGGA